rnacentral:lncRNA from 1 species
GUGGAAAGGUUUGGUUAGGAGGGAGGCAGAGAUCAGUGGUCUCUUUCUGGCGACCCUCAGCCCCACCUGAAUUCAAGGAAAGAGUUCGAUACAAAAGCAAGCUCCAGAAAUCUGUGUGGGUAUUUCUUUCUUUCUUUCUUUCUUUCUUUCUUUCUUUCUUUCUUUCUUUNNNNNNNNNNUUUCUUUCUUUCUUUCUUUCUUUCUUUCUUUCUUUCUUUCUUUCUUUUUCUUUCUUUCCAUCUCUCAAUUUCCUUCCUUCCUUUCCUCCCUCCCUUCCUUUUACACCAUCUCUCAAAUUUUUCCUUUUUCCUUUCCUUCCUUCCAUCUCUCAUUUUCCUUCCUUCCUUCCCUUCCUUUUACACCAUGUCUCAAUUAUUCCUUUUUCUUUCUUUCCCUUUCUUUCUUUCCUUCCAUCUCUCAAUUUCCUCCCUCCCUCCCUUUUAUACCAUCUCUUAAUUUUUUCCUUCUUUCUUUCUUUCUUUCCUUCCUUCCUUCCUUCCUUCCUUCCUCCCUUCCCCAUCCCCACCUUCCAGACUUUCUCUCCAAGAAAACAAACAACUAAGGAGAAACGAGCAGCACAAUUUUUCUCCCCCUCCAAGGUUUUAUUAUGUAGGGUAUGGGGGUUAUUGUGGGGGGACAGGACGAAUAAGCCUUUUGAUUCCAUUGGUUUUAUUCUCUUUCCAUUUUGCCUUGAGAUGCUGUUGAAAGCGGCUUCAGAGGCAGAUGGGCAGGAUUCCCUCUCUUGCUCGGGGAAAGGGGGUGUCUUGGGACCCAAUCCACGGGAAAUCUUUCCCAUCCACAAGGGAAGAAGAAAUGAUCCCCAGGGAUCCGACCUUGCAUCCACCCAUUCACUGGGGUUGGCGGGGGUUUUUUUUUUUUGGUUUCGGAAAGGGUUGAAGGGAUCUAAUUGAGAAGGCUCAAUUGAACUUUGGUGCUGGAGAAGACUCCUUGGACUGCAAAUCAACCCAACCGUGACUGCUGUUUAGAAGGCCAGAUCCUGAAGAUGAAACUCAAAGACUUUGGCCACCUAAUGAGAAGGAAGGACUCACUGGAGCUGGGAAAGACUAAGG